rnacentral:lncRNA from 14 species
GUCUCUGCCGGGCGCUCAACGGCCGUCACCCCGCGCAACGGUGAGGGCAUGGCGGAACGCAGCGGCCGCCGGGCAGCAGAGCCAGACCGCCUGGCGCUGGAGUUGGGCCGAGAGAGGCGGAAGAAGCAAAUGCUUGAAAUCUCAAUAUCUGAACUGAGAAACACUGUCACAGAAUUGGAAAAAAGACUUAGCAGUGUUGAAGAUGAAGGUAAUGAAUGGAAAACCAGAUAUGAGACACAAGUAGAAUGGAACAAACAUCUGG